rnacentral:rRNA from 1 species
GGGGAAUAUUGCACAAUGGGGGAAACCCUGAUGCAGCGACGCCGCGUGAGCGAUGAAGGCUUUCGAGUCGUAAAGCUCUGUCCUAUGGGAAGAUAAUGACGGUACCAUAGAAGAAAGCCCCGGCUAAUUACGUGCCAGCAGCCGCGGUAAUACGUAAGGGGCGAGCGUUGUCCGGAAUUAUUGGGCGUAAAGAGUGCGUAGGCGGCAAAUUAAGUCAGAUGUGAAAACUAAGGGCUCAACCCAUAGAUUGCAUCUGAAACUGAUAUGCUUGAGUCAAGGAGAGGAAAGUGGAAUUCCUAGUGUAGCGGUGGAAUGCGUAGAUAUUAGGAGGAAUACCGGUGGCGAAGGCGACUUUCUGGACUUGAACUGACGCUGAGGCACGAAAGCGUGGGGAGCAAAC